rnacentral:lncRNA from 1 species
AGACGCCGUAGGUAGCACGCGAUGGAACGCGGCGGAGGGGAGCGUGGACACGGCUGCCGGGCGCUGCGGCCAUCGGCGCCCUGGACGCCCGCUCCGGCCUUCGGGGCCGGAUAUCCCCACUCUCGCGGGCUCUUUCGCGUGGACCCCUCCUCCGGCCGACACUCACACUGCGGUGAACGCCAGUCAGCUGGCGUGAAAUAAGGUCGCUGGGAAGGCACCAAGUCACCAAGGUGGGGGAUGGCCAGGUCGUGGUAGUUGCGACAAAGAAAAAUAUAAGUCACAUUGCAUUUGUUUCUCGCCCACCCACCGCUCCCGGCGUCUCUUCCCGGGCUCCUUGCCAGCGUGCCGAGGCGCAGGCAGGGUGAUGGAGGCUCCCCGGCCGGGAGGAUCUGCCGGGGAGAGCGGCUUCCCUCAUCGAUUCGGGAGCGCCAGGCCCGGCGCGCCCGGGCUCCUGUGACCUGCGAGCCCGCGAAUUCCAGCGGCAUAAGAUAAGGAGCGGCGAGGGCCCAACAGGACUGAGGUCAGCCAGCUAUAAAUACGCCUCCAGCUCCACCGCGGGCUCACGCUGGUGACCUCGUGUACCCUCCGGAGGCUCAUUCCGUCCAUUUGGAAAAUGCAAAUAAUUGUCACCACCUCUUUUCUUCCAUUUCCCCUCAUUCAUGGUGGAAAAUGCUUUUAAAAGUAUUCGAUGACCCGUAUGUGAGGAAAGAGGAGAUAGGCCCCUUUUUCACCAAAUGUGACUUUAACCUCCUUAGUAAUCCAAGAAAUGUAUCAAGUUUAAGUCACUUAACAAAAGAUGUUCUUUUAAAGGUGCAUUUUAAAAAAUCACUUUUAAAACUGGGUAAACUGGGUAAAAAGAAAGGGGGAAGGAAAACAAUGUGCCAGGCAUUUGUAUUGACACACAUUCUUGCCUGAAGAGGUGUUUAGAUUCCAGGGUAUUCCCUUAUAUUCUGGUAUAAAUGUUUGAAUUCCCGUGU